AUUGAACGCUGGCGGCAUGCCUUACACAUGCAAGUCGAACGGCAGCACGGGAGCAAUCCUGGUGGCGAGUGGCGAACGGGUGAGUAAUAUAUCGGAACGUGCCCGGUCGUGGGGAUAACGUAGCGAAAGCUACGCUAAUACCGCAUACGAUCUACGGAUGAAAGCGGGGGAUCGCAAGACCUCGCGCGAUUGGAGCGGCCGAUAUCAGAUUAGGUAGUUGGUGAGGUAAAGGCUCACCAAGCCGACGAUCUGUAGCUGGUCUGAGAGGACGACCAGCCACACUGGGACUGAGACACGGCCCAGACUCCUACGGGAGGCAGCAGUGGGGAAUAUUGGACAAUGGGCGAAAGCCUGAUCCAGCCAUGCCGCGUGUGUGAAGAAGGUCUUCGGAUUGUAAAGCACUUUAAGUUGGGAGGAAGGGCAGUAAGUUAAUACCUUGCUGUUUUGACGUUACCAACAGAAUAAGCACCGGCUAACUU
rnacentral:rRNA from 1 species